UGACCCACCCCUCUCCACCAG
rnacentral:miRNA from 1 species